AUUUACCAGCAAAGUUAAACUAAACUCCAGUAAGUUAAGGGAAUUAAAAUCAUGUUAAAAGGAUUCAUCACUUUUUGCACAGAUGUCAAAUGGGUUUCAACUCAUUACUCAAACCCAAUUGGGACUGUCUGCCUGGAUUGCGGUGCUGAAUAGAAAUCUGAGUUCUUGGAAAAACUGAGCAUCAUGCUGGAGAGAGCUAUGUGCCGUGGGAUUAGUUCUUGGGAACGGAAGCGCAUUACUGCUUUUUUUAACUAGCAAGCCGUUUACAGUAAAGUGGCACCCUGGAUGAGACCUUAUUAAAAUAGAAUGUACAUACACCUGGGAUUUCUGUGAUUGAGAAGUAUGAGCACAACGACUGCACUUAAAGAGCACAUAUUCCGUGGAGACUUGGUGCUUUUCUUUUCAAGGCUGGUGGUGGAGAGGAAAGGGCAGCAAUCAGGAAGUCA
rnacentral:lncRNA from 1 species